GACGUAGGGCGCGAGCGUUGUCCGGAUUUAUUGGGCGUAAAGAGCUCGUAGGCGGCUUGUCGCGUCGUCCGUGAAAACUUGGGGCUCAACCCCAAGCUUGCGGUCGAUACGGGCAGGCUAGAGUUCGGUAGGGGAGACUGGAAUUCCUGGUGUAGCGGUGAAAUGCGCAGAUAUCAGGAGGAACACCGGUGGCGAAGGCGGGUCUCUGGGCCAUUACUGACGCUGAGGAGCGAAAGCGUGGGGAGCGAACAGG
rnacentral:rRNA from 1 species